GAAAAAUCUUUCUUAUUCAAGUGAAUUGUCUUUCUGUCAUGUUAUUGUCAAGUCUCCUGAGCAUUUAGUUCAGCAAGUUAACCUCAAAUUAGUAUUUUAGCUUAUUUCAUUGUGUCUUUGUCUUGUUCUUCAGACUUUGCCUUCUCAUCUCUUGGAUUUUUGACUUCCUGACUGAUAUACCCAAUCCUCCUAGUGCAAUAUUCGGCUCAGUUUACAAUAUAUCAACUUGAUAACUAUCCCUAGGUAACCUUGAUUUCCAAAGGGACAUCAUCACAGAUAUUUAUCUAGUUUUAAGAGAUCAGCUAUUUCUAGUGGAGCUAACUAUUCCUUGGCCACAGUCCAAACACUUACUUUCUUUGAGUUCUUCAUAUUCAGAAUACCUUCAUUUUAUUUAGAAGAUCCAAUAUAUUUAUAUACAUAUAUUGGUUAGUAGACAAUUUGCUACCAUUUUUUCUUUAUGUACUUUUUCCUUAUUUCUUUUCUUCCUUUGUGGUACCAGGGAUUGAAUGUAGGUCCCUAUGCAUGCUGGCAAGCAUUCUGCCACUGAGCUAUAUCUCCAGUCUUGUCCUGCUUUUUCAACUUGUAAUUUUAAUAAAGAAAAAGGAUGGGCUGGGAUCAUGGCUCAGCGGUAGAGCGUUUGCUUAGCACGGGCGGGACCCGGGUUCGGUCCUCAGCACCACAUAAAAAUAAAGGCAUUGUGUUGUAUCCAUCUACACCUAAGAAAUAAAUAUUUUAAAAAAUGAUAGCCUAAAUAGUAGUUCUGUAGUAUUUUUUCUGCAAUUCCUUCUCUCAUUUUAUUGUUUAUUAACAUUGUAACUUUAAAUUCUUUGCAACUAUUCUUUUGAAUGGGAGUCUAUGAUUAAUUGCAUGUGCAUGCAUGUGCUUUCAUGGUUAGGCAGCUAUACCAGAGAAAAUGGAUUAUUAGAUGUUGCAUUAUUGGCAAAGAGUAUACAAAUUUAGACAUUAUGAACAUAUUUACAGAUUACUUUCCAAACCUAUGUCUAUGCACACCAAAUAUAUAUGAAGGCACUUUUUACCAUGUCCUUGUAAGUUCUGAAUGGUACCAGUUUUUUAAUUUAAUUAAGUAGUUAUGUAAAAAAGUAUAACAUUCUUUUAUCAGAUUAAUAAUCACAUAUACCUCUUUGUGAGGUGUUUACUGUGAGUUUACUGGUUAUUUAUAGUUAUUUUUUUUUAAAUUUAUUUUUUAGUUGUAGUUGGAUUCAAUAUCUUUAUUUAUUUUUAUGUGGUCCUGAGGACCGAACCCAGGGCCUCGCACGUGCUAGGCGAGCGCUCUACCACUAAGCCCCAACCUCAGCCUGAUAUUUAUAGUUCUUAUGCUAAUUUGUGCUUUCUUUUCCUUUAUUCACUUAUUAAAGUAGUUCUUUUUGAUUUUUUUAUACAAAUUCCCAAAUUUUUCUCAGUAUUACAAAAAAGAUCUACUGUUUAUUAAUGUGUUAUGGCAUCUUUAUUUGGGGGUAUUUUAUUAAGAUUAGUUAAGUUUAUUCCUCUAUUUGAAUGAAUCUUAAACUGUAUACUUGAAAUAAUUGUAUGUGGAAUGUUUAAAAUGUAUUAAAGCAACCAUGAACUUGUUGGUUUCUUCUUCUUUUU
rnacentral:lncRNA from 1 species